UUUCCCAAGCGCCACACAGGCCAGUGAGAUCCACCCUGCAAACAAGAGUCUGUCACCUCGCGAAGACAUGACAUCUAUGAAGCAGCCAGGAAGGAAUUCCCUGUUCUACUUCCUGGCACAGCAAUAACCCGGGGGCUUGUUAGCCAAAUGCUGGAAUUUUGUAGCACAGCCCCACCAAGUCUGCAUUUAGCAAACCAGGGAAGCAAACUGUAAGAAUAAACAGAAGAUACACACACCCCCACAUCCUGAUGGCUGGGCCCCAGACUCCGCGGUUCUGACAGCUGAUCCAUUCCGACUGCCCUUCAGAGCUGCACGCUGGAGCAACUGCAGCCCUUGAAGCAUGGUGGGCAGACAGGAGCACAGAGCUUGGCUCUCCUCGGGCUGCAGCCGAGCUUAGGUGAAUGAAAGACGACAAGACAGUGGUGGAAAGACAGAGAGCCCCAAAGGCCAACGAGACAGAGGAUCCUGCAGCAAGAGGGGACCUCGCAAAAACGCAGCUUGGUGAAUGAGUAUCAUUUGGGAUCGGCACAAGACAUAAUACCAAUU